GGGUCGGCAUGGCCCAGCCCUGCGGCACCUGCGAGGCCCGACCCCUCAGAGCACGGCCGUGGGCGUUCCCAGGCUCCCCCAGUGAGGUGGCAGGGCUACUCCCACUCCGGAGAGGGGUAAACUGAGGCGGGAAGCCGAGGAGUCAGGAAGGUACCUGUCCUCCAACAGACGCAGCUUUCACAGCAGUACUAUUAGGGCUCCUCUGCUCGCAUUCUGGGAAUCACAAGCUAACAGGCACUGGGUAGGACUCUGUGCUGUUGGACCACUCAGGAUGCCUUUAGAAAGCCGCGAGUGUUCAGGGGCUGAGUUCAGGCCCAGGGAGGCUGAUGGGCACGUGUAAGGGGUGAGGCCUUGCGGUGGGGAAGCCUGCUGUGAACAACAAGCACUGUGCUUGCCUGUCCAGUGGGGAGACCAAAUCCCACUGGAGCUGGUCGUCCCUGGGGCUGGCUGCCCGGGAGUGGGAUCAGGGAGGAGCUGAACCUCAGGACCAAGGCUGGCCAGGCCGAGGCAUGGAGGAGGGUCUGAGUCUGGGGAUGAGGCUGCAGGAGGCUCUGGCACUGAGGCUGAGCUCGGAGGGCAGGUUUAGGGGCUGGGCUGGGGUGGUCAGCGUCUCUGUCUCUUCUUAUGCCUGGCUCCCAGACUCAGCUCCCACAGCAGAAGAUGCAGCUGCAGGAGGCCUGCAUGCGCAAGGAGAAGAGUGUGGCCCUGCUGGAGCACCAGCUGGUGGAGGUGGAGGAAACGGUGCGGCAGUUCCGGGGGGCUGUUGGGGAGCAGCUGGGCAAGAUGCGGCUGUUCCUGGCCGCGCUGGAGGGCUCUUUGGACCGGGAGGCAGAACGAGUUCGGGGCGAGGCUGGGGUGGCCUUACGGAGGGAGCUGGCAGGCCUGAACUCCUACCUGGAGCAGCUGCGGCAGAUGGAGAAGGUGCUGGACGAGGUGGCCGACAAAGCACAGACCGAGUUCCUCAUGAAAUAUUGCCUGGUGACAAGCAGGCUGCAGAAGAUCCUGGCAGAGUCACCACCCCCUGCUCGUCUGGAUAUCCAGUUGCCUGUCAUUUCAGACGACUUCAAAUUCCAGGUGUGGAGGAAGAUGUUCCGGGCUCUGAUGCCAGGUACUGAGAGGGCGGACCCCGAGCUUGUGUGUGAGGGGUUAGUGGGGUCCCAAUUCAACUCAGGAAGGCACCGAAGGCACCCGCACCUCAGCUCUGGCUCCCCCUGCAGCCCUCUAAUCUGCACGUGGAAGACUUCGGAGGGCAUGGUGUUCACAGGUGACAGACAGGGGGAGAGCGUUGCUGUUGGCAGACAGGAGGCUGGGGCUUGAGUUUGAACCACUGACUCCCGUGUCAUCCUUGGCCAGGCACUGCCUCUCUCUGGAUAUGGAGACGAAGAUUCCUGUUCAUGGGGGUGGGCUGGGGGCUGAGGGUCCGAAGCGCACCUGGAACCCUGGGCACUGGCCUGGGUCAGACACUGGCUCUCGAGCCCAUGGCUGGGGUAGCUCAAGCCUGAGCCUUGGCUCCCAAGGGUACAGCACAUCCGGAUGCUACAGGCCAUGCGGCACAUCUGACGCAGCCCUUGCUGUCUCUGGUUGGUGAGCUGAGACCCGGGUUUAGUCCAGAGAAAACUGAGACCCAGAAACCCGGUCAGGAGAGAGGCCAGGUGUGGUGGCACAUGCCUCUGAGGCGGAGGCAGAAGCAUCCCGAGUUCCAGUGUAGACAGGGACAAGGGUUCAGUCGCCAGGAACCCCAGCCCUCCACGGGAUGACUGAGGACCAGGCCUGGCGAUGGCCUGAGGCGACCUGGGUCUAGUUGGGGCCACAGGCGGCGGGUCCCUCCCUGGUUACCCGCAGAGCUGCCCCGGCCCGAAAGAGGGAAUUGGGGCUCGUUGGGCGGCUGGGCAGAAUGAUCCAGGGCGGCCGGCUGACCGCGGCGUCCCCGCAGCGCUGGAGCAGCUCAC
rnacentral:lncRNA from 1 species